UACGGGGGGGGCAAGCGUUGUUCGGAAUUACUGGGCGUAGAGGGCUCGUAGGCGGCCAACUAAGUCGGACGUGAAAUCCCCAGGCUCAACCUGGGAACUGCGUCUGAUACUGGAUGGCUUGAAUCCGGGAGAGGGAUGCAGAAUUCCAGGUGUAGCGGUGAAAUGCGUAGAUAUCUGGAGGAAUACCGGUGGCGAAGGCGGCAUCCUGGACCGGCAUUGACGCUGAGGAGCGAAAGCCAGGGGAGCAAACGGG
rnacentral:rRNA from 1 species